GCGGGAAAGGCUGAGGGAGCUCAGGGAGGGGGUGACAUCGGGGAGGCUUUGGCGGGAAAGGCUGAGGGACCUCAGGGAGGGGGUGACAUCGGGGAGGCUUUGGCGGGAAAGGCUGAGGGACCUCAGGGAGGGGGUGACAUCGGGGAGGCUUUGGCGGGAAAGGCUGAGGUGCCUCAGGGAGGGGUGACAUCGGGGAGGCUUUGGCGGGAAAGGCUGAGGUGCCUCAGGGAGGAGAUGGCGUCGGGGAGGCCGCGGUGGGCGAUGCUGCGGUAGCUCAGGACGGGAUGGCACUAUGCGAGUACGCGGCUGAGGGGAACAUGCAGGCCGACUCAGUGUGAGUGAUAAAGCAUGAUUCAACUUUAUUGCCCGAGAUAGCGUGUAUUUAUACCAAAUACCAUAAUUAUGCAUACUUGUCUCUAUCUAAUAGGCUAAGCACUAAAAGGUUACAUUUACUUACUCCACCUACUUGGGUUUAGCUAGCUAUGCGCAUCCCGCAUUCUUCUGACUCUUAUCUCUUCAAGGAUAUCCUGACCCUGCCUUAGUCAGUACUUUUCCGUUCCCCCCUUUCCCACGGCCUAAUAGACAAGCUAACUAAGGCCUACUUAUGUCAGCUAGAAUGGGCUCUGCUCGUACAGCUGCUCGGUGGACUCAUGUCCACGCUCCUUGAGCCAAUCCCUGACAUCUUCCCCCUUUUCUUUUUACGAGCAGAGCCUGCCCAAGUGUCUGCUCUAAAAUCUUGUUUUUGAUUUGAGUUGUCGCUGGUUGUCGCAGCGUUUGGCUUUGGUGAGGACAGCGUGUGUUUGUCAGCAGUUGGUGUAGGUGGAACCUGGAGGAGAAAGCGAUAUUUCCGUGCCAGAACUGGUUGGUGUUUGCAUGGUAUUGUGGCGGUUGUUCCCGCAGGCGAUCAGUGCUGGAGUGUUAUUGCAGGAAAGGGGAUUUUGGAGGCUUGUCUGUGAGAUGCACCAGAGGCAGCAGCUGAAAGCGAAAGGCUGAGAUUUGGAGGGUUUGUGGGUGGUUUUGGGCGGUUGUCAGUUGAAGAGUUGGCUGUUUGCAGGUGAGGUGUAGGGCAGAGGGUGAAGCUGACCUUGCCUGGGCGGCACAACUGGCUGGGUGUGCAGAGCUGGGGAGAGCGGGCUGCUGCGGGUGACCCUAAAGCUGGAGAACCGGCCGGCAGCUCCAGAGGCUCCCGCUGCCGGGCAGGGCCGUGCAGGCCAGUGCCCUGGGGCACAGCGACGUGACCUCCGCAAGGACCAAAGAGCAGGUGGAGCAGCGUGCGAAGGAAAAAGGAAGCAGAGGAAGACGGUGAGCCUGCGAGGAAGAGUGUAGCGAGUCGGGCGUGGACUCACGGGGAGCAGCGUGCAAAGGAAAAGCGAGGAAGGAGGCAGAGUGAUGGAUGCAGAGGGUUGGAGCGCACCUGCCGGUCAGGAGGGCUCAGGGAAGAAGACACCGGUGGUGGAACCGCAGGUCAGGAGAGCUCAAGGAGGGAGAAAGGUGAUUGUGGCCGUAUGGGUUUUUCUAGCUCACACACCAAUGAAAACAGUUUGGAUAAUAAAAGAAAUGUAUGCAAAACCGAUAAGUAAAGGCAGAGAAUGUUUAUAUGCGAUGUAUGGGAUAGACCUGAAGGUGUAUUUAUUCCUACGACAAAGGAGAAUUCGCAAUGGUAAUUAACUGAGGAUGUGAAUUUCCAGAUUGCAUUUGCAACAUACCGAGGGAACAUAUCAGUUUAUUACCCUCAACAUAAAGUGUGGGCUGAAACUGGUAAUUUACCGUUGUGCAGCAAACGCUGCUGUCAGCAACGACCAGUAAGCGACAAGACUGUAAUUACUGAUGGCUCUGGUCGCUCACGUGAGUUGUAAUGACGUGGCUGAACUCAGAUACCCAGUGCUGCAAACACAAGGUAGAGAAAGAGACCAAGGGUCCAACAAGUUCUGGAGCUGACAGCUGUUGGGAUCGCUGUGAGGUGUUCUGUGACAAACCGUGGAAUGUUGGAACUGGCUCGUAUUAUGCAGCUGGCGUACUUAACCACCUGGAAGCUUCUUUUCUUAAGGAAGAGGACAAUCCUCUUUCGAUGGCUGAAUUGGGAAUGCUAUGGUUUCUAAUAAAUCACAGACAUCAUGGUUAUUAUGCAAUGCACACCCGCUCUCGCACGGCCCUCCCAGGACCUCUUGCGGAAGGCAAUAGGAGGGCCGAUGCACAAGCUGUGCUGCUCACUGUGCCUGAAGCCUUGCAGCAAGCUAAAUGAUCACAUGAAUCCUUUCACCAGAGUGCAAAGGCGUUAAAACGACAAUUUCAAAUGACAGUGGAUCAGGCCAGGAGCGUUCUUAUGUCCUGCCCUGAUUGCCAGCAGUCGGCACCCGUGCCGUGCACAGAGGGUGUGAAUGCAGGAGGGAUUGCUGCCAGUGAAGUACGGCCAGCUGGGGUAACGCGUUGUUCUGAAUGGGGUAAAUAUGUACGUGUUUCUGUACGCGCUCAUUCCGGAUUUCUCGUUGCUGCUGCACGCUGGUGAAAGAGCACGAGAUGUCUGUGACGUUGGUUGACAUGUUCACUGUUUGAGGAGUUCCACGAUAUGUAAAACCAAGGAAAGCGGAACGCACGCUGGAUUAGAGGAGCGAUCCCCGAGUGCCCAGCGCGCUGUAAUAGAAGUGCCUGCUGUUUAACACUUUCAAAACAGUGAUAGCGAGUCUGUUUGCCGACUUUCCGGUAUCAUGUUCUGGUGACGAGGACGGGAUGAUCUGCCUGACCUGCCGUGGUCCCCAGGGUCUCUGGGACCUUGUGCCGGCACCGGGGAAUUCCCGGAAGGGACCACGGAUCCUGGGACCAGCUCGGACACGGGUGAAACCCCAUCGGUGAGAUGAGGCGCUUUCACUGUAAAAAUAAAGCUUUCCCCCCUUAAUUUUUGUCACAUAUUGUAAUUAGAAUUAAUAGAGAUAUUGAAGCCCGUCCUAGCUGAACUGGAGAAAAGACAGCAGCCAUGUGUAUUUUUAAAUAAAGAGUAAAUCAAGUCUGCUA